AGAGUUUGAUUCUGGCUCAGAUUGAACGCUGGCGGCGUGCUUAACACAUGCAAGUCGUACGCGAAAGGGACUUCGGUCCCGAGUAAAGUGGCGCACGGGUGAGUAACACGUGGAUAAUCUGCCUCUAUGAUGGGGAUAACAGUUGGAAACGACUGCUAAUACCGAAUACGCUCAUGAUGAACUUUGUGAGGAAAGGUGGCCUCUGCUUGCAAGCUAUCGCAUAGAGAUGAGUCCGCGUCCCAUUAGCUAGUUGGUGGGGUAACGGCCUACCAAGGCAACGAUGGGUAGCCGAUCUGAGAGGAUGAUCGGCCACACUGGAACUGAAACACGGUCCAGACUCCUACGGGAGGCAGCAGUGGGGAAUAUUGCGCAAUGGGCGAAAGCCUGACGCAGCGACGCCGCGUGCGGGACGGAGGCCUUCGGGUCGUAAACCGCUUUCAGCAGGGAAGAGUCAAGACUGUACCUGCAGAAGAAGCCCCGGCUAACUACGUGCCAGCAGCCGCGGUAAUACGUAGGGGGCGAGCGUUAUCCGGAUUCAUUGGGCGUAAAGCGCGCGUAGGCGGCCCGGCAGGCCGGGGGUCGAAGCGGGGGGCUCAACCCCCCGAAGCCCCCGGAACCUCCGCGGCUUGGGUCCGGUAGGGGAGGGUGGAACACCCGGUGUAGCGGUGGAAUGCGCAGAUAUCGGGUGGAACACCGGUGGCGAAGGCGGCCCUCUGGGCCGAGACCGACGCUGAGGCGCGAAAGCUGGGGGAGCGAACAGGAUUAGAUACCCUGGUAGUCCCAGCCGUAAACGAUGGACGCUAGGUGUGGGGGGACGAUCCCCCCGUGCCGCAGCCAACGCAUUAAGCGUCCCGCCUGGGGAGUACGGCCGCAAGGCUAAAACUCAAAGGAAUUGACGGGGGCCCGCACAAGCAGCGGAGCAUGUGGCUUAAUUCGAAGCAACGCGAAGAACCUUACCAGGGCUUGACAUAUGGGUGAAGCGGGGGAGACCCCGUGGCCGAGAGGAGCCCAUACAGGUGGUGCAUGGCU
rnacentral:rRNA from 1 species